GGACGGUGAUAGCUCAGUGGCUUUGCCUGCUAAAUCUGCUUGUGCGUCUACUCCAGAGGCACUGUCCCGAUUUUGGAUGCGGAAUAGGGUAACAUAGCCACAGGGAAAACCGUGGCACGUAUGAGGGCCCAACCUCCCGCCUCGAUGCCUGAGCUUAAGACACUCAAGGGUGUCAUGUGUAGAGCAGGAACGUCCAGUGAGCAGGUCAGUCUUAGGGUGUGUCAGGUUGUUUAUACGUGGGUCUGGCUUCUGUCACGCUGUUUGUCGUGGUUGUGUGGGCUGGUCAAGCGACGCAGUCGCCGGUUAUCGU